CGUUCCCGGGUCUUGUACACACCGCCCGUCACACCACGGGAGCGGGAUGUACCAGAAGUAGGUAGGCUAACCGCAAGGGGGCCGCUUACCACGGUGCGUUUCGUGACUGGGGUG
rnacentral:rRNA from 1 species